UACGUAGGGGGCAAGCGUUGUCCGGAAUCAUUGGGCGUAAAGCGCGUGUAGGCGGUCCGGUAAGUCGGCUGUGAAAGUCCAGGGCUCAACCCUGGGAUGCCGGUCGAUACUGCCGGACUAGAGUUCGGAAGAGGCGAGUGGGAAUUCCCGGUGUAGCGGUGAAAUGCGCAGAUAUCGGGAGGAACACCUAUGGCGAAGGCAGCUCGCUGGGACGUUACUGACGCUGGAGACGCGAAAGCGUGGGG
rnacentral:rRNA from 1 species